rnacentral:rRNA from 1 species
GUCUACGGCCAUACCACCCUGAACGCGCCCGAUCUCGUCUGAUCUCGGAAGCUAAGCAGGGUCGGGCCUGGUUAGUACUUGGAUGGGAGACCAAUAUAUUGUCUAUGUUGAUAUCCAUU